UCGCGAUAACUCCCCACACAAAUGUCUCUGUGUUUGAGUUCCACAAAAGUAGGGGCUGAGAUAAGANCCCGUCCCGCCCCCGCCGCCGCCGCGGGCGCGCGCGUGUCAGGCGCCUCUGCAGCCGCCAUUUUGGAGUGAGUCGGCCUGAGCCCCGAGCCCGCGGGAGCCGGCGAGGCCUGCGGCGGCAGGGGCGGGGGCGGGGAGCCGCGGAGCGCCCAGAGCGCCCAGAGCCCGGCGCCGAGGCCGAGGCGCAGGCACAGAGGCUGGAGAGAAAUCUUUCAUUGAGUGCACACUCUCACAAAAUCACUCAAAUGUUUCUUUGCUUGAGAACAGGAUUUCAUCUUUGAAAGAAGAAGUUUCUCCGGAAGGUAUGAGUAUUUCCCUAAGCCUUCCAUGCUUGGCUGUUUUACUAUAUGAAGUUCAGCAUGGCAGCACCAUGGCAUGUUGGGCACACAACAAUCUACUGCCUGGAUUGGUGACAUUUUGAAAAAUUGAAGUUAUUUUGGUAUUUUUUUGGCCAUAUUUAAUUCAGUGCUAUGUGAGACCAUCUUUGAGAGGCAGCAGAGUGUAGUGGACAUGGAAUUAGAAGACUUGUUUUCACUUCUGCUGGGCAUUUCUGCUAGUCAGUUCACCAUCUUGAGUCCUGGCCACUGGCCACUUCAGAUUUGUUCUGCUGAGCUCAGGAUACUGGUUGGAAGGCUUUGAAGUGCUUCGGAAAGAUGAAUUAGAGCUGUUUAUCUCAAUCAUGUGGUUUUGUCAUACCUGGUCAAGCAAAA
rnacentral:lncRNA from 1 species